rnacentral:lncRNA from 10 species
UGGCCGCCGCCAUAUAAGACGUGACUUUGGCCUCCCGUUAUGAUUCUGAGACCUCCCCAGCCAUGGAGAACUGUCAUCCCCAUGCCGGCCGGCUGCUAGCUGCAGCUCCUGGAACUAGAGGAAAAGGAACCAAAGCAAGAACACUGACUCAGGGCUUGGCUGGGAUCAGCCUGGUACAGAGACUGUGCCUGCACUUGCAGAGCCUGGCAGAGUGGAAUUUGAAGUCAGUCACCUAGAUUCUGAUCCAGCUGCGUCACUUGUCAGCUAUUGCCUUUGGGCAUCCACCUUGGCCUGCAGCUCCACUUUGCUCGUGUAAGCUGCGUCCACGUCCUAUGGAGAAUCCAGAUACCCCUGACCUCACCUUUCUUCAAGCCCAGACAGGCCUCUCCAGCGAACUGACACCUGCAGGCCCUGCCCUAGCUAGCUGCCCAGGACUUCAGAUCCAAGGGGCAGGAACCGGCCUUCCAGCCACAACUUCACUGUCAGACUCACUGCGAAACCUGGGGCAAGUUUCUCAUGCCUCUGGAACUCCUUCUGCCUCUAUUUCUCAGAGAAGGGUGUGAGACUCUAUACCCCACUCAGCCAGUCAUUCAGCCAACAGAGGGAGGCAAGGACAGCCACGGCGAUUUGCCAGAAACUAGCAGAGUUGGAAGGCAAACCUGCAGCCCCUCCCAAAGCCUGUCCUGUUCCCCAGCCAGAGGGGACAUGAGUUGGGACUGACUAUCCACAUCUAGGUUCCUGUCCACAGACAAAGUACUGUGUGCUAAACCAACACCAGGUGUCCCAAAAUGUCCCAAGCAGCAAGCCCUUCAUCUCCUCCUUCAGCACUUUGGCUCCAGGCCCUUCUGCGGGGGGCUCAGACCUCAGCUGCUCCUCUCUCUUAGCCCAGCACCCACUGCUGGGGGACUGAAGGGAACCCAUGCACCCUCCUCACCUUCUUAAGCACCACAAAUUCAUUCUCAGCAGUUGUGCGCUUGUUUAUUUCUUCUUCAUACCUGCAGGGAAAGCAUCACAGGAAGCAGAGUGUGUG